rfam:Oryctes borbonicus contig22640, whole genome shotgun sequence.
UACAUUUUGGCAGUGUGGUUAGCUGGUUGUGUUACAUGAAUCACGGCCACUAUCCAUACUUCCGAGUUGUG